rnacentral:rRNA from 1 species
UACGUAGGUGGCAAGCGUUGUCCGGAAUUAUUGGGCGUAAAGCGCGCGCAGGCGGUCCUUUAAGUCUGAUGUGAAAGCCCACGGCUCAACCGUGGAGGGUCAUUGGAAACUGGGGGACUUGAGUGCAGGAGAGAAGAGUGGAAUUCCAGGUGUAGCGGUGAAAUGCGUAGAUAUCUGGAGGAACACCGGUGGCGAAGGCGGCAUCCUGGACCAACACUGACACUGAGGAGCGAAAGCCAGGGAGCAAACGGG